rnacentral:rRNA from 1 species
AGAUACUGAUCGGUCUCGUGGGCUCGGAGAUGUGUAUAAGAGACAGGUAUUAUUAAAAAGGACUUAAACAAUUAAAGGAUAUACUUUAAUUAAAUUUAAUUCAAAAAACUUUUUUAUAAAACCGUACUAAAAACCAACGCAGGUAAAUGGGUAGAGUAUACUAAGACGAUAAAGUGAAUCAUAGUGAAGGAACUCGGCAAAUUAACCUUGUAACUUCGGAAGAAAAGGUUUUUAUUAAGUAUAUUACUUAAUAAAAUAAUAUAAAAGGGGGUAGCGACUGUUUAAUAAAAACACAGGACUUUGCUAAAUCGUAAGAUGAUGUAUAAGGUCUGACACCUGCCAGGAACUGUGUAGUUAAAAUUAAAGAUAAUUAUUUUUAAUAUAAGCAGCAGUAAUCGGCGGCCAUAACUCUGAUGGUCCUAAGGUAGCGAAAUUCCUUGUCAACUAAUUAUUGACGUGCAUGAAUGGUGUAACGACUUCCCCACUGUCUCCACUAUGAGCUUUGUGAAAUUGAAAUAUUCGUGAAGAUGCGAAUUAUAUAUGGUUAGACGGUAAGACCCCGUGCACCUUUACUACAAUUUUUUAUUGAUUAUUUUUAUAAAAUUGUGUAGAAUAAGUGGGAGUUUAAAUUUAGUUUUAAACAACAAUGAAAUACCACUCGUUUUAUGAUUAAUAACUAACUUUAAAAAAAAAUUUAAAGGACAUAUAUAAGAUUGGUAGUUUAACUGGGGUGGUUUUCUCCAAAAAGGUAACGGAGAAAUAUAAAGGUAAAUUAAUAAUUAUUGUUGUAAUAAUUAUUUAUGUAUAAUGGCUAAAAUUUGCUUGACUGUAAGAUUGACAAAUCAAACAGAAACGAAAGUUGAUCAUAAUGACCCGGUAAUUCUUUAUGGAAAGGUUAUCGAUCAAUGGAUAAAAGGUACGCCGGGGAUAACAGGCUGAUAAUUCUCUAGAGCUCAUAUCGACGGAAUUGUUUGGCACCUCGAUGUCGGCUCAUCACAUCCUAGAGCUGAAGAAGGUUCUAAGGGUUUGGCUGUUCGCCAAUUAAAGUGGUACGUGAGCUGGGUUUAAAACGUCGUGAGACAGUUUUGUCCCUAUCUGCCAUAUAAUAAAGAAAAGAAGAAAAGAAUAAUUCUAGUACGAGAGGACCGAAUUAGAUUGAUCAAUGGUAUAUAAGUUAUAAAUUCUCAAUUUGUAUUGCUUAGUAGCUAAAUCAAUGAAAGAUAAAUACUGAAUAAAUAUAAGUAUGAAGCUUUUUUUCUUAUUUUCUCAAAAAAAAGUAAGAGACUAUUACUUUCUGUCUCUUAUACACAUCUCCGAGCCCAC